ACGCUCGACACCUACGGGAGGCAGUAGUGGGGGAUAUUGCACAAUGGAGGAAACUCUGAUGCAGCGACGCCGCGUGAGGGAAGAAGGUUUUCGGAUUGUAAACCUCUGUCUUCGGUGACGAAAAUGACGGUAGCCGAGGAGGAAGCCACGGCUAACUACGUGCCAGCAGCUGCGGUAAUCUGAGCGGGCUGGCAAGGC
rnacentral:rRNA from 1 species